rnacentral:rRNA from 1 species
UCUAACGUGGACCCGUAAUCCGGGUUGCGGACAGUGUCUGGUGGGUAGUUUGACUGGGGCGGUCUCCUCCUAAAGAGUAACGGAGGAGCACGAAGGUUGGCUAAUCCUGGUCGGACAUCAGGAGGUUAGUGCAAUGGCAUAAGCCAGCUUGACUGCGAGCGUGACGGCGCGAGCAGGUGCGAAAGCAGGUCAUAGUGAUCCGGUGGUUCUGAAUGGAAGGGCCAUCGCUCAACGGAUAAAAGGUACUCCGGGGAUAACAGGCUGAUACCGCCCAAGAGUUCAUAUCGACGGCGGUGUUUGGCACCUCGAUGUCGGCUCAUCACAUCCUGGGGCUGAAGUAGGUCCCAAGGGUAUGGCUGUUCGCCAUUUAAAGUGGUACGCGAGCUGGGUUUAGAACGUCGUGAGACAGUUCGGUCCCUAUCUGCCGUGGGCGCUGGAGAACUGAGGGGGGCUGCUCCUAGUACGAGAGGACCGGAGUGGACGCAUCACUGGUGUUCGGGUUGUCAUGCCAAUGGCACUGCCCGGUAGCUAAAUGCGGAAGAGAUAAGUGCUGAAAGCAUCUAAGCACGAAACUUGCCCCGAGAUGAGUUCUCCCUGAGACUUAGAGUCUCCUGAAGGAACGUUGAAGACGACGACGUUGAUAGGCCGGGUGUGUAAGCGCAGCGAUGCGUUGAGCUAACCGGUACUAAUGAACCGUGAGGCUUAACCUU